CGCCGACUCCACUCCCGCCGUGCCCCGCGCGUGGGGGGGGGGGGGCGGGGCUGCCUACGGGAGCGAAGCGUGAGGGCACGCCGCUCGCCGUUGUCCAAUGGGAGGGCGCUCUUGCCCAGGUCUGCGGGGUCUGCAGGGGAUUGUGGUUUAGGCCCUGACUGGUCUUCGGGCGCUGUUUCUGGAGUAGAGCAAGGCGCGCAUUCCCCUGUUGAUUUGGCGUCCGCGAGGCAUCUUGUCCGGAAGUCAUUCCUUCAUUCAAGAACUGUAUGAAGGGCCUGUGUGGGACCAGGCACUGCAUCAGGUGCUGGUGAUCCAGGAACAAACAAAGCUGAUAAAAUUUGCUGCCCAAAUGGAGAUGGGUGUGGGGUAAUUAUUGGAGAUGGACAACAAAUUAAACAAGAUAUGCACUCUUUGUGAAA